rnacentral:rRNA from 1 species
UACGUAGGGGGCAAGCGUUGUCCGGAAUCAUUGGGCGUAAAGCGCGUGUAGGCGGCUAGGUAAGUCUGCUCUGAAAGCCCGGGGCUCAACCCCGGGAGGCGGGUGGAUACUGUCUAGCUCGAGUCCGGAAGAGGAGUGUGGAAUUCCUGGUGUAGCGGUGAAAUGCGCAGAUAUCGGGAGGAACACCAGUGGCGAAGCGAAGC